rnacentral:rRNA from 1 species
ACGUAGGGGGCAAGCGUUAUCCGGAAUUAUUGGGCGUAAAGAGUAUGUAGGUGGUUUCUUAAGCGCAGGGUAUAAGGCAAUGGCUUAACCAUUGUUCGCCCCGUGAACUGAGAGACUUGAGUGCUGGAGAGGAAAGCGGAAUUCCUAGUGUAGCGGUGAAAUGCGUAGAUAUUAGGAGGAACACCAGUGGCGAAGGCGGCUUUCUGGACAGUAACUGACACUGAGAUACGAAAGCGUGGGGAGCAAACAG